rnacentral:rRNA from 1 species
AUACGUAGGGGGCGAGCGUUGUCCGGAAUGAUUGGGCGUAAAGGGCGCGUAGGCGGCCUGUUAAGUCUGGAGUGAAAGUCCUGUUUUCAAGAUGGGAAUUGCUUUGGAUACUGAUGGGCUUGAGUGCAGGAGAGGUUAUCGGAAUUCCCGGUGUAGCGGUGAAAUGCGUAGAGAUCGGGAGGAACACCAGUGGCGAAGGCGGGUAACUGGACUGCAAAUGACGCUGAGGCGCGAAAGUGUGGGGAGCAAACAGGAUUAGAUACCCUGGUAGUCCACACUGUAAACGAUGAAUACUAGGUGUAAGAGGUAUCGACCCCUUUUGUGCCGGAGUUAACACAAUAAGCAUUCCGCCUGGGGAGUACGGCCGCAAGGUUGAAACUCAAAUGAAUUGGCGGGG